rnacentral:rRNA from 1 species
UGGGGAAUAUUGCACAAUGGGCGCAAGCCUGCUGCAGCCAUGCCGCGUGUAUGAAGAAGGCCUUCGGGUUGUAAAGUACUUUCAGCGGGGAGGAAGGCGAUAAGGUUAAUAACCUUGUCGAUUGACGUUACCCGCAGAAGAAGCACCGGCUAACUCCGUGCCAGCAGCCGCGGUAAUACGGAGGGUGCAAGCGUUAAUCGGAAUUACUGGGCGUAAAGCGCACGCAGGCGGUCUGUCAAGUCGGAUGUGAAAUCCCCGGGCUCAACCUGGGAACUGCAUUCGAAACUGGCAGGCUAGAGUCUUGUAGAGGGGGGUAGAAUUCCAGGUGUAGCGGUGAAAUGCGUAGAGAUCUGGAGGAAUACCGGUGGCGAAGGCGGCCCCCUGGACAAAGACUGACGCUCAGGUGCGAAAGCGUGGGGAGCAAACA